rnacentral:tRNA from 1 species
GCCCGGCCCGGUCCGGCCCGGUCCGGCUCGCCUGCUCGGGUCGGUCGCCUGUCAGGGUUGGCUUCGAACUUGCUCGGCUUCGACUGCCUAGCUGGGCUCC